UUAGGUCGUAUGAAUAAAACCGAGCACUUGCUCAUGCUUAACCCGAUUCGAGCAAAGUAAAGUCUCUGAGCAUUUACUCAAAUCCGUAUGAAUAAAACGAUACUUUGCUCAGAGUAAGUUCGAAAUUCGAACUUAGCUUUUACUUUGUCAAAAAUAUUGUUUUGGUUUGGUUGUUUGAUUUUUGCAAAGAAGAAUUCUAGUGGUGCAAAAUAGCGGUGCCUUUACGGAUAUUACCCGUUUUUGCCGUGCAAUAUGUAUUUACAAAUAAAUUUUUGAUCUGCGCCGUUUACUGCCGGCUGCUGGAAAAGCCACAUACCCCGGUGAAACUUAACUGGCAGCAUCAGAGUGUGGUGAGCAGAAGAACCUGGAGCAAUCCUGUGCCGCAUGGAAGGCUAGGACUAUAAUCGGUAACUGCUUUGUAAACAUCAAGUGGGGACUGAUACGUGCUCAUCAGCGGGUAGUCAGCAUGAAGCAGCAGGUAACCGUGCUUUCCCGCGGAAUCGGAUCCAGUUACCAAAGUUUGGUCAUUGGCAAAAGUUCACCAAACGAGAACGAUCGACAUUCCAACGGAUCCAUCAUGUAUCCGGUGCUGUACGGGGCAAUGGCAAUGAACUAUUGCGGACAAUUUGGCUAGUAUGAGCAAGCUCAGGAAGCUGGUGAUCAGGUCUGCCUUUGCUUUUGAAGCAAUAAAUUAUACUAAGUACUACGAUACUCAAUCGGAAUUAUGAUUUUUCGAAAGGUUUUCUCAAACAGCCAUAUUGAUUGAAUAAUUACGAUUUGAACGUCUUGAAUAUUAGA